rnacentral:rRNA from 1 species
GGGGCUGCCUAUUUUCUCGGGAGAACCGUCAGUGUUGUGCCUUGGGGCAUGUUUGCCGACAUAUAUGGGAGGAAGCCCUGCAUUCUGAUCAGCAUCAUCUCUGUGAUUGUACUUAACACACUCUUUGGACUCAGCGCGAGCUAUUCGAUGGCCAUUAUAACUAGAGGGCUACUUGGAUUACUCUGUGGAAUAUUAGGACCGAUAAAGACCUAUGCUUCAGAAGUGUGCAGGAAAGAGCACCAAACUCUGGGAAUUUCCCUUGUUACAACAUCGCGAGCAAUAGCUUUUGUUGUUGGACCAACAAUUGGAGGAUUUCUUUCACAGGUAAGGACCGGUUCACUUUGA